CAAUUGUUUCACAAUUGGCGCCAAGAUCGAACUGGACACCCCUGCUUUAAAGCCUGACCCGGGUCUCCCAAAAGCUGCAGAAUGUUUAUCAGCACGGACGGAAAUCUGUGGAACAACAAUGCUUCAGUUCCUCAACACUGAAGAUCCAGUGGAAAAAAAAUGUUUGAAAACAAACAUGCUAGAGAGUUUUUAGGUCACAAUGGAUGCGCAGGAGGAAAUGAAGAGGAAGUUAAUGCUUGCAGCGGGACACACAAAGAAACACAGUGACGGUCAUCUCCCAGAGGUCCACGAUUGUGGUCCAAUCAUGUUCUGGGUCGUCCUUUGGAUGAAAGCUUGGAGUUGAGCUCAUAAAGCAGG